rnacentral:misc_RNA from 1 species
GUUGGUGAACCAGCGGAGGGAUCAUUACCGAGUUUACAACUCCCAAACCCCUGUGAACAUACCUAUCGUUGCUUCGGCGGAUCCGCCCCGCCGCCCUCGGGCCCGGAUCAGGCGCCCGCCGGAGACCCAAAACUCUUGUAUUUCUUUAGUAUCUUCUGAGUAAACAAGCAAAUAAAUUAAAACUUUCAACAACGGAUCUCUUGGUUCUGGCAUCGAUGAAGAACGCAGCAUCUGACUGACUAUAUGCCAG